rnacentral:rRNA from 1 species
GACGAACGCUGGCGGCGUGCCUAAUACAUGCAAGUUGAGCGCUGAAGGUUGGUACUUGUACCAACUGGAUGAGCAGCGAACGGGUGAGUAACGCGUGGGGAAUCUGCCUUUGAGCGGGGGACAACAUUUGGAAACGAAUGCUAAUACCGCAUAAAAACUUUAAACACAAGUUUUAAGUUUGAAAGAUGCAAUUGCAUCACUCAAAGAUGAUCCCGCGUUGUAUUAGCUAGUUGGUGAGGUAAAGGCUCACCAAGGCGAUGAUACAUAGCCGACCUGAGAGGGGGAUCGGCCACAUUGGGACUGAGACACGGCCCAAACUCCUACGGGAGGCAGCAGUAGGGAAUCUUCGGCAAUGGACGAAAGUCUGACCGAGCAACGCCGCGUGAGUGAAGAAGGUUUUCGGAUCGUAAAACUCUGUUGGUAGAGAAGAACGUUGGUGAGAGUGGAAAGCUCAUCAAGUGGCGGUAACUACCCAGAAAGGGACGGCUAACUACGUG